UGGUUCCUACGGGAGGCAGCAGUAGGGAAUUUUCGGCAAUGGGGGGAACCCUGACCGAGCAACGCCGCGUGAAGGAAGAAGGAAUUCGUUCUGUAAACUUCUGUUAUAAAGGAAGAAAGACGGAUGGAGGAAAUGACAUCCGAGUGACGGUACUUUAUGAGAAAGCCACGGCUAACUACGUGCCAGCAGCCGCGGUAAUACGUAGGUGGCAAGCGUUAUCCGGAAUUAUUGGGCGUAAAGAGGGAGUAGGCGGCAGCAAAGGUCUGUGGUGAAAGACUGCAGCUUAUCUUCAGUAAGCCAUAGAC
rnacentral:rRNA from 1 species